UACGGAGGAUCCGAGCGUUAUCCGGAUUUACUGGGUUUAAAGGGUGCGUAGGCGGCCCUGCAAGUCAGCGGUGAAAUGUGGCGGCUCAACCGUUUCGCUGCCGCUGAUACUGUGGGGCUUGGAUGCGGUCGAGGCGGGUGGAAUCCGGGGUGUAGCGGUGAAAUGCAUAGAUAUCACGAGGAACGCCGAUAGCGAAGGCAGCUCGCCGGGCCGCGAUCGACGCUGAGGCACGAAAGCGUGGGGAUCAAACAGGAUUAGAUACCCUGGUAGUCCACGCCGUAAACGAUGAUGGCUGGGUGUGCGCCCGCGAGGGCGCGUGCCUGAGGGAAACCAUUAAGCCAUCCACCUGGGGAGUACGGCCGCAAGGCUGAA
rnacentral:rRNA from 1 species